rnacentral:rRNA from 1 species
GUAGUCCCGGCUGUAAACUCUGCCCGCUUGGUGUGGCCUGUACUUCGGGUGCAGGCUGUGCCGGAGCGAAGGUGUUAAGCGGGCUGCUUGGGGAGUACGGCCGCAAGGUUGAAACUUAAAGGAAUUGGCGGGGGAGCACCGCAACGGGAGGAUGCGUGCGGUUUAAUUGGAUUCAACGCCGGAAAACUCACCUGAGGCGACCAGCGUAUGUGUGUCAGGCCGAAGACCUUACUCGAACAAAAGCUGGAGAGGUGGUGCAUGGCCAUCGUCAGCUCGUACCGUAGGGCAUUCACUUAAGUGUGAUAACGAGCGAGACCCCCAUCCCUAGUUGCUAACUUUUCCGAAAGGAAGGGUGCACUCUAGGGAGACCGCUUCUGCUAAAGAAGAGGAAGGAGGGGUCGACGGUAGGUCAGUAUGCCCCGAAUCCUCAGGGCUACACGCGCGCUACAAAGGACAGGACAAUGGGCUCCAACCCCGAAAGGGGAAGGCAAUCCCAAAACCUGUUCGUAGUCCGGAUUGAGGGCUGUAACUCGCCCUCAUGAAGAUGGAUUCCGUAGUAAUCGCGGAUCAACAGUCCGCGGUGAAUAUGCCCCUGCUCCUUGCACACACCGCCCGUCAAACCAUCCGAGUUGGUUUUGGGUGAGGCCCUGUCUUUGUGGCAGGUUCGAACCCAAGGUCGGCGAGGAGGGUUAAGUCGUAACAAGGUAUCCGUAGGGGAACCUGCGGCUGGAUCACCUCC